UCCUUCUUAGCUCAGCUGGUAGAGCGCAUCACUAGUAUGGAACUGUUCUGAGAUCAUGACGAGGUCAGUUGUUCAAGUCGGCUAGAAGGAA
rnacentral:tRNA from 1 species